UAGCGUGCUCGCAGGUCUACUUUACGGGGCUGCCUGGCUUUGGUGGGGCUCUUCUCUGCCCCCUUGUCCAACAAGGCACCAGCUGUUCCUUUACAUUCCACACCAGCAUUCUGUGGAGACAAAGGAUGGAGCAAACAUUAUGAAUUGAUCCUUUGGGCCCUGGAACUGCCACUGGAGUUGCUUUUGGACUUUGCUGUGCAGAGCAGAAAAAAUGGCUUAUACAUUGCAACUGAUGGAAUGAACUAUCUCUGAUGAUCCAGACGAAAGGUACACUCCAGGCAAUGAGGUUUCGAGCAGCACGGCCCUCUUCAGCAACUAUCUUCCUCACCUUGUCAUGGCUAUUGGAGCGCUGAAAAGAUGCCUGCAGGACAAACAGAUUCAACACAUCAGCUCUGCUCUUUAUCCAAGAGCCAAUUGA